rnacentral:rRNA from 1 species
GACGAACGCUGGCGGCGUGCUUAACACAUGCAAGUCGAACGGAAAGGCCUGCUUUCCCUUGUGGAUUGCGGGUACUCGAGUGGCGAACGGGUGAGUAACACGUGAGUGAUCUGCCCCCAACUUGGGUAUAAGCCUGGGAAACUGGGUCUAAUUCCCGAUAGGACUGCAGGGUGGUGCCUGUGGUGGAAAACGAUUUUCUAGUGGUUGGGGAUGAGCUCGCGGCCUAUCAGCUUGUUGGUGGGGUAAUGGCCUACCAAGGCGGCGACGGGUAGCCGGCCUGGGGGGGUGGACGGCCACAUUGGGACUGAGAUACGGCCCAGACUCCUACGGGAGGCAGCAGUGGGGAAUAUUGCACAAUGGGCGGAAGCCUGAUGCAGCGACGCCGCGUGGGGGAUGACGGCCUUCGGGUUGUAACCUCCUUUCGACCGCGAGGAAGCCACCUGGUUGGAAGGGUGGUGACGGUAGUGGUAGAAGAAGCACCGGCUAACUACGUG